CAGAUGGCUUAGUUAAGUUGACCCAGCUAUUGGGAUGGGUUGUGCAAAGCCCAGGCACAGGGUUCAGACUCCAUCUUCUGUGUUCUUCUUAAUUGACAAACUGCAAUGGCUGUCUUCAGAGUCUUGGUUUUCUAUGGUGGUCAACUCCUGAGUUCUUAUGAUGUCGCUGGGCACAGAAAAAAUAAACGGAGAAGGUAAGCCGUGAAUGGCCCAGCAUCCAAACCUGCCUAUGGAGCUGCAGCCCACUUCUCCACUGGAUCCAAGAAAGGAAUACAGAGGAGCACUCCUUUCCCCACGCAACACAAUGGGUUGUGGUACAUACGUGACGUUCCUUAUGGAAGAGUUGUGGUGAUCUCAGAAGGAAACAUUCCAACUCAAAAGGACAAAGCCUGAAACUGUACUUAGAACUUCCUAUUUUAUUACACAAAGGAAAGAGACUUUAUCUUGGGCCUUCACAAGGAAGACAUCCUUCUCCGACCUGGCUGUCAGGUUCACUUUUAUAUUCAUGUGUAUUUCUUCUUUAAGCCUCUCAAUCUGCCACCUCUCAAAUGUUUUCUCUGGAAAAAUACAUUUCCUCCACUGGCUGAGGCUCUAGGUUCUUCCUUUCAAUCUUCAGUCUCAAUUAGCAUUAACUAGAUGAGCACAGAUGUUCACUGACUCUAAGUUUCUCAGGCUACACAGCCCAUGAGUGAGUGUGUAAGUAGAUCCUGUACCUACCAGUGAAAUUGUGACCUGCUGGUUCCCGACUUAAGUGGUAUGUUAGCUAAAGAUAUCACUCUAAGAUAAACAUAAGCUUUUCUUAGUGUCCAGAUAGUUAAAUCCCAUGAUGGAAAAAUAAUAUUUCUGUAUUAGCAGGCCUUUCUGGCUUAGUCCCUUGGGAAUGAUAGGACCUCAUUAGUGGGUGAAAGGGCCCCAGGCUCUUUCCUGUUCUGAUCAAGCCUGGAAGAAUCACACCACAGUAACUUCAGUUUUUAAUGGUUAUUCUAUUUAUAAUUUGGGAAAUAAUUACAGUUCUGAUUAAAUUAUGUUGUUUUUAGUUUCCCUCAAAUGGGAGGAGGAAGACUGCAAAUUUGUCUCACUUCAACAAUUUGUACAAAUUAUUUACUUACCGUUGUUAUAAUUAACCCAGAGGAAAAAAUACAGGGUUCCAUGAUGUGCACAGCUGGGGACAUCAGACAUGAUCUGGCAAGAAAGGGAGAAGGUUCCUUAAAGAGUUGAGAUAUAAAAAGUAACUAAGCGUCUUCCACUUCCAGUCAAGAUGGAGUAAUGGGGAUUGGAUUUACCCUCACACUUGACCCAACUACAGCACUGGACAAAAUGUA
rnacentral:lncRNA from 1 species